AUGACUGUGAUCUGCGUCCUCAUCUGGACUCUCCUCUGCUGCUGCUUCACAGAGUCCAGAGGACAGGUCACAGUGACUCAGCCUGGAGCAGUGAGCUCUGCUGUGGGGGGAUCUGUCUCCAUCUCAUGUAGAACCAGUCACAGGGUGGAUGAUGGUACUGACCUAUCCUGGUACCAACAGAAAGAUGGAGAAACUCCUAAACUACUAAUUUACUAUGCUAGCACUCGAGCAUCAGGAACUCCAAGUCGUUUUACAGGCAGUGGAUCAAACUCUGAUUUCACUCUGACCAUCAGUGGAAUUCAGGCUGAAGAUGCAGCAGUUUAUUACUGUUUGGGUGAAUUCUACAUCAACAGCAAAUACUCGUUCACACAGUGAAAAACAGUCGUACAAAAACCUCCUUCAGUCAGAGAGAACAGAAACCUAACUGACACAGUUCAAUGAAGACACAGAGAAGCACACACACACUUUUAAGAUAAUAUUGACAGUACGCGUGCUUUCAUUAAAUUCUACACCAUCUGAAAAUUUCAGAUCCUAAACUUACAAAGAAUCUUAGAAAUAAUUUUUAAACAACAGAAUCUUAA